AAACUCAAAUGAAUUGACGGGACCCGCACAAGCAGCGGAGCGUGUGGUUUAAUUCGUUGCUACACGAAGAACCUUACCUGGGUUUGACAUAUAGGUUGUAGGGAACUGAAAAGGGACCGACCCUUCGGGGAGCCUAUACAGGUGUUGCAUGGCUGUCGUCAGCUCGUGUCGUGAGAUGUUCGGUUAAGUCCGCUAACGAGCGCAACCCUCGUCGUAUGUUAUAUGUGUCAUACGAGACUGCCGGUAAAAGCCGGAGGAAGGUGAGGAUGAUGUCAAGUCAGCAUGACCUUUAUAUCCAGGGCUACACACACGCUACAAUGGUCUGUACAAUGGGUAGCCAAGCCGCGAGGCGGAGCCAAUCCUGAAAGCAGGCCUCAGUUCAGAUUGCAGUCUGCAACUCGACUGCAUGAAGCCGGAGUUGCUAGUAACCGCAGGUCAGCAAUACUGCGGUGAAUACGUUCCCGGGCCUU
rnacentral:rRNA from 1 species